GCAACGAGCGCAACCCUUGCCUUUAGUUGCCAGCAGUUCGGCUGGGCACUCUAAAGGGACUGCCGGUGUUAAACCGGAGGAAGGUGGGGAGUGACGUCAAGUCCUCAUGGCCUUUAUGACCAGGGCUACACACGUACUACAAUGGCCGAUACAAAGGGCAGCGACACUGCGAGGUGAAGCCAAUCCCGUAAAAUACGGUCUCAGUCCGGAUUGGAGUCUGCAACUCGACUCCAUGAAGUUGGAAUCGCUAGUAAUCGUGGAUCAGCAUGCCACGGUGAAUACGUUCCCGGGCCUU
rnacentral:rRNA from 1 species